rnacentral:rRNA from 1 species
CACAGAGUUAGCCGUCCCUUCCUCUUCUGAUACUAUCAAUGCGAGCACAGUUAAUACUCGCACCUUGUUCUCAAAUGACAGGAGUUUACAACCCGAAAGCCUUCAUCCUCCACGCGGCGUCGCUCCUUCAGGCUUUCGCCCAUUGAGAAAAAUUCUCGACUGCUGCCACCCGUAGGUGUCUGGACCGUGUCUCAGUUCCAGUGUGACUGGUCGUCCUCUCAGACCAGCUACCCGUCAUAGCCUUGGUGGGCCGUUACCCGCCAACUAGCUGAUAGGCCGCGGGCUCCUCAAAAAGCGCCAGGUUACCCCGGCUUUGGAUUCAGGAAGAUGUCGUCCCUCACCACAUGCGGUAUUAAUUCGCCUUUCGGCGAGCUAUCCCCCACUUUUCGGCAGAUUGCCACGUGUUACGCACCCGUUCGCCACUGAAUUACUUCUGUAUUGCUACAAAAAUAUCCCGUUGACUUGCAUGUCUUAUCCACGUCCGCCAGCGUUCGUUCUGAGUCCA